rnacentral:rRNA from 1 species
UACGUAGGGGGCAAGCGUUGUCCGGAUUUAUUGGGCGUAAAGAGCGUGUAGGCGGCCAGACAGGUCUGCUGUGAAAACUCGAGGCUCAACCUCGAGACGCCGGUGGAAACCGUUUGGCUAGAGUCCGGAAGAGGAGAGUGGAAUUCCUGGUGUAGCGGUGAAAUGCGCAGAUAUCAGGAGGAACACCGGUGGCGAAGGCGGUUCUCUGGGCCUUACCUGACGCUGAGGAGCGAAAGCGUGGGGAGCGAACAGG